rnacentral:rRNA from 1 species
UACAGAGGGGGCAAGCGUUGUUCGGAAUUACUGGGCGUAAAGGGCGCGUAGGCGGCCUGCUAAGUCGAACGUGAAAUCCCUGGGCUUAACCCAGGAACUGCGUCCGAUACUGGCAGGCUUGAAUCCGGGAGAGGGAUGCGGAAUUCCAGGUGUAGCGGUGAAAUGCGUAGAUAUCGUAAGGAAGACCAGUGGCGAAGGCGAGUCUCUGGACAGCAACUGACGCUGAGGCACGAAGGCCAGGGGAGCAAACGGG